rnacentral:snRNA from 1 species
UGGUAGUAACGAUGCCGAAAUCCACAACCCUUGCAACGACACAAGAGAAGAUUAGCAUGGCCCCUGCACAAGGAUGACACGCACAAAUCGAGAAGUGUACCAACAAGAA